GGUGGUCAAGUGCAGUGGUGAUUGAACAAAUAAUUGAUUCACAAACCACUUACAAAUUUCGCAUUCCUUCCCCACUCCACCGCUUUGUUGGACUAGCCUAAA
rnacentral:Y_RNA from 1 species